rnacentral:rRNA from 1 species
CGGCAGGCCUAACACAUGCAAGUCGAACGUGAAGCCAGAACUUGCUCUGGUGGAAAGUGGCAGACGGGUGAGUAACGCGUGGGAACCUACCCAGUGGUACGGAAUAACUCAGGGAAACUUGUGCUAAUACCGUAUGUGCCCUUUGGGGGAAAGAUUUAUCGCCAUUGGAUGGGCCCGCGUUGGAUUAGCUUGUUGGUGAGGUAACGGCUCACCAAGGCGACGAUCCAUAGCUGGUCUGAGAGGAUGAUCAGCCACACUGGGACUGAGACACGGCCCAGACUCCUACGGGAGGCAGCAGUGGGAAUAUUGCACAAUGGGCGCAAGCCUGAUGCAGCCAUGCCGCGUGAGUGAUGAAGGCCUUAGGGUUGUAAACCCCUUUCAGGAGGGAAGAAAUUGACGGUACCUCCACAAGAAGCACCGGCCAACUACGUG